rnacentral:misc_RNA from 1 species
AAGGAUCAUUAUCGAAUAAACUUGGAACAGGCUGUUUUGCUGGUCCCUCGAGAGGGGGGCAUGUGCACGCUUGUCUCAUCUUUGUCAUUUCUCCAACUGUGCACCUCUUGUAGACACCUGGCUGUUUGGAUUUUCAUUCGAGUGGGGACUGCUGUGCUGUAAAAGUUCGGCUUUUCCCCCCUUUCAGGGUCUAUGUUGUUUUAUUUCACAACCUCUCAAACGUGUUUAGAAUGUUGGAUGUACCUAUAAAAAAGUUGAAUAUACAACUUUCAGCAACGGAUCUCUUGGCUCUC